CUUCCCUAAACCUGUUGAUUCAAUUGAAUACCAGAUAAAGAGGCAUCAAACGCUCGUUGAUUCGCAAGAAUACCGAACGAUUGGAAAAACGGCACAAAUAAUAUUAAUCUCCAAAAACUACUGAAACCCUAAAGAAUUAGAGUAUAAAUAUGGUUCACAAAACCCUAGGGCCCGGGACAAACCGGGUUAAAAGAAUAAAUUACGAAACCUUAAGAAAACAAGCCCAAAAGCAGGCCCAAAAUACUAAACGGACCAAAAAUCAUACUUAGAAGCGUUUUUUAGCGUUUUCCUGGCCCGGAAAAUGAUUACAUUUUAAGAGGAAAACGGAGUUACGCAGCAAAAGUUAUGGCCGAUUAAUGUUUACCGGUCACACGGACAUAACGACGGCCCCGGGUCUCCAAGUAAUCUUCAGCCUUGCUAUCUGCAUCA
rnacentral:lncRNA from 1 species